AACUUUCAACAACGGAUCUCUUGGUUCUGGAUCGAUGAAGAACGCAGCGAAAUGCGAUAAGUAAUGUGAAUUGCAGAAUUCAGUGAUCAUCGAUCUUUGAACGCACAUUGGCCGAGCAUUCUGGCGGCAUGCCUGUUCGAGCGUCAUUUC
rnacentral:rRNA from 1 species